CCCUUGUCUCCCCCUCUGCAUGCAGAGGCUGUUUUAGCAUCUGCUUGUGCUUUGACUUCUUUUUUUUUUUUGCUUCUUUUGACUAGAACAGUUCUUUUCUCAAUAUAAAACUGUCCCUGGAUUAUUGUCAAGUGCUUGAUGCCUUGCUCCACUUCUACCUUUUAUUAACUCAUCAAUAUUGUCUUUAAUGACAUGUGAAUACAAACAGACUCCUCUUUGAAGCUUGAGUGCAGCAGGCAACACAUUUGGCUUGUUCUUGAGCUCUCUGAGCCUUGAAACACCGUCUAAGCUUUGGCUAAGCCUUGAAACACUUUCUGAGCCUUGAAAAGUCUUUAAGCGCUGCAGAUCGAGAAUGGAAAGCAGCAGUUUGUCUCUCUGUGGCGACCCAAGAGCAUCCUCUAGUGUACAUUUAAGGUUACAGUGAUGUCUGUAACGGGUGUGUUUUGACUAUGAGUGUCUUUUGUUAAUGAGAAAAGCACAAAUGAGGAGCAUCCAGGUUGGAGGCAGCAGUCCUGGUGAGGAAGAGGAGGGACUAUUUCCAGGGUAUUGUCAUACUGCAUGGCAUGAAGCAUCUUCCACCAUCAUCUCUCAUGCAAAAGGUAUUGGAGAUGGCCAGUGUGGCCCAGACAAGCAAACUGCAGCUGAAGGGGCAGCGGACACGUCUCUGGCCACACUGCCGCAGUGUGGUGUGGUGCGGGGACCACGCACCGGAAGGGUCAAUGUGGCUUCUGGCUUCAGUGCUGACACCAGGAUCAGCAGAUCCAGGUUGUCCCAUGAGUAGUUUUGGCUGGGAAUGAGCCAGCCUCUAACUCUUGGGGCUGGAAGAGCAUCCUUGUGGGCAAGAAUACUGGGAAGAGAAGCCCAGAGUGAUUUUCAAGGUAGAGCCUAAUCUGUUUAUAUGUGGGGUGUUGUGAUGUGGUUGCCUGAGGCUAACGUAGGACCAGGCUCAACAUGAGAGACAGCUAAGCUUUGUCCUAUGCCUAAGGAAGUCUAUGCUAAAAAACAAAAUGAAAUGGGGAAGGGAAAAGGACCUGAAAUUUGAGAGCAUUUGUUUUUCAAGGAAGGGACAUAAAAUACUGAGCAGUAAGAAAAUUAAAUAAGGCAAUUUUGAGCGAGUGCUCUGAAAGGAACUGAUCAUCUGUGUGCCCCACAGCAAGUGUGGCCAUCAUAGGAGGGCUCAUUUUAAGAUGUUUCCUGCUCCUGUUUCAGCUCUGUAUUGCACCCUAGAUGUAAUCAUUCAGGUGAAGAAGCAUUUUCCAUUUCUGUUUAUAUCUCUUUAACUAUACUGACAUCAUUAUGUGAGAUGAUUCCUCACCCAUCUCUCUAUAUUGUGCAGGCAAUAUAGGGAAGAUGGCUAGACAGGUAUAAGCUACAUUUACACUGGAAGGCUACAUUACAAUAAAUUUAUUUAGUUUUCAAAAAAUAGAGUUCACAUUCUUAGAUUCUUUAAGGUUGGGUGUUUUUGGGUUGUUUUCUGAUUAAGCAUGCACUAUUGUAUACAAACAUGUAUAUUUUUAUAUGUAAAACCAAUCCUUGCAAUAUUAAUGUGCUGCCCUGUACAGAAUUGGUGUUGAAACAGCUGAAGGAAUCACAGCAAAAGCAGAAACUUACAAAGUCCAUUAUACACAAGGGAAUCUUUAAAUCCCUUAUUUCAUUUAGACACUCUCCAAAAGAUUUUCUAAAUGCAAAUAUCUCUUGACAUGAUCAGAUACAUAAAGGAACAAGUUUGCAGCCUAUUAUAAAUCUUGGAGAGGACUGAAACCACAAAAUAUCAAGCUCGGUUGACAUAAUGCCUUUUAUAGGUGAGGUUGGCAGGGCUACUUCUAACUUCCUCUCAUAAACCUGUUUUCACUUAGUGAUAUACUCUUUGCGGCUUAGUCAUUUGUGCUAAACCCCUCCAUCCUCUCUUUGCCUCAGGCCCAUAACUGAAGCCAAGGUGUUUUUUUAGCUAUUUCUAAGAAAGACUAGAAGGGAAAAGAAGAAAAUAAGUCUUGCUUGUAUGAAACGAUGGCAACCCUCUCUCUUUGGAAACCCUAGCCAUGUGUUGUGUUUCACCAAAAUGGGGAGAUCUGUCAAGAGCUUGGUCUUCACACUUGUCCCUCUUCCACACUUGACCCAUCUUCAUGUUCAAGCAACACAGAUCUUGAAAAUCAAAGCAAAAAUGUUUGUGUCACCAAGGCUGCUCUGGAUUUUGCCUCUUCAAGACGUAAAUUGCAGGUUGCUGAGUUUUGUGGACUGAUGCCCUCCCAUCUGUAUCUGGGGUGGUUUUGCACAGUGUGUGUGCAAGUGUGUGUGUGAAUAUUUGCCCACUGACUUGCAGGGCUGAUUCCUCAUCUCCUGCCCUGCCUCAUUCCCAUAUCCUCUGGGUAUCCUAUUGCAAUCCCACCUUGAAAGCACGUGGGUAGCAUUCAGGUUACACUGGCAGUAAUUUCAGUAAGACAGUAUGGACAUCAGAAGUAUUGCAACUAAUGUAUGUCACAGACACAGGUGCAGUCAAAUGAUGUGUCAUUUGGUCAAUAGAAAAGAAAAAAAAUAAUACUUGAUUUAGAUUGUAGAGACGCUGCACACCAGUGGUGAGGGGAGGAGUUGCCAGCGUUACUCAUCCAACUUUAUGCAAAAUCCUGCAACCCCCUGCCAUGUCCCAUCGCAUCCUGCUGAAGAGAGAAGCAGCUUAGCUGCUGAUUGAAAUGGGUAUUGGAUCAGGUGCUGGUGAAUGCUGUAGUUUCUUCCACUCUCUGUUUUUAUGGAUAAUGCCACCCGCAGCUCUGACAGCCUUUUUGGUCUCUAAAUCAUAGAAUAGUUUGGGUUGGAAGGAGCUGUCAAAGGUCAUCUAGCCCAACCCCCCUGCAAUAAGCAGGGACAUCUUCAACCAGAUCAGGUUGCUCAGAGCCCCGUCCAACCUGUCCUUGAAUGUUUCCAGGGAUGUCAAGUGAUCCUGCAUCUCUGCCUAUGCUAUU